GGAAGUGGUUUGCUGUAGCACAACAAGGUUCUUGGAUCCAGGUACAUGAGGUACUGGUGGUCAUACUUUGUACGCUGCCUGUCACCUCCUGGUAAGCUGAUCAAUCUUUUAGUGGCCUGAAAAGAAAAGAAUCAAGACUGUCGUCAGAUCAAGCAAAGGAACAAACGUUUAUCAUCACUUACACUUCUACAUUUACACAGAGUAGACUAGACAUGAUUGCAUUGACAUUUGACAUACCUUAAGAAGAGUUGGCUAGAGUUUGCCAUCCCAGGCGAAUUGA